CUCACUGAGCUGGAGCUGCGGAGAAGAGCAGAAAGGGGGAAAACUUCUACAGAGGAUGGCAGCUGAGCCCCAGCUAAUCCUGUGUUUCAACUCUUUUGCAAGAGAACUGAAGAAACACGUGGGAUAAUUUCUGUCUGCCUAUAGAUGGACAAUGCAACUCAGCACAGUGCCUGAACAUACCCACUGUGUGAGAGAGUAAUAAAACAACCCUGAUGACAGCCCUGGACUCGAUCAGAAGGGAACAGCAGCAAUGCAGGAAGCAGGCCAGAGAGAUCCAGUCUUUGUGCUCUUUCAGGACACUGAAGAACAAAGCAGGCAAGAGGAAACAGCAAGCAAAGAAAGAUGUCAGUAGGUUUGACACCAAAGGUCACAAUUCUGUUGUUGACACCAACCUGCAAAGAAAGGGUCUGGAGGUUGACUUAAGCUUGGGUGGAUAUCAGACAGUUGGGAUGGAUUUCUUCUGAGAGGGAGGAUGUACAUCACUUGGACAAGCAUGUCUGAUUUCAGCCCUCCAGUAGCUGACACAUACAAUGGAUAAAUGCCUGCUAUUACUAUAAGCUAACGGAGUUCUUCAAAUAGGCCACUUGACUCAAGUGAAGUGUUUUGGUAUGGAAUGUCCCUGAUUCUCACACUUAUAAUCCACAUUUGUAAUUUACCUUAUAUACAUAGCUAGAUUUACUCCCUCUGGCACAUAACUCCUACACAGCCUCAAAAUAUGUUAACGUGUAGAAGAACUGUUGAUGCACAUGAUUAUCAAAAAGUAGCACAUCAAGUAUGAACAAGCUUGAAAAAUCACAUACUAUAAUAGCUACGACACGCUCAACAGAAACAUUAGCAUUUAAAUAGCCUUAAUUCUGACCCAAGAUAAAAAUAAUUCUGAAAACUGAAGAGUUGAAACUAGUCUUGUGUGUAUGCCACAGCUGAACUUGCAAUGAGAAUCUCAUGAGCAUAUCCCCCUGCUUGUCCUGUGAUCCACUGGCUCCCUUCUGAAUCUUGUGCAGGCUAUUUGAAGAUCCUUAAUAUUCAUCUCUGUGAAAAUCUGGCUCGACUGAACCACACACAAGCACAUCAAGCGUACCAGUACAACUUGCCUCACGCUGCUGCUACAUAUGCAGCAACUUUUAGCCAGUUUCUCAGAGCAACAGAACAGAUAUGACCAUCAAGAGGAAUCAUCCCACAUCCUACUUACACUGAGCUAGCAGAGAGAGGUCCCUACCACUAACAGGGCUUUGCAGUGCUACUCAAAGCAAUGUGAUGAAAUAUUUCCAAAUCUGGAGUUUUCACUGUCUAUUUCUAUUUAUCCUAUGUUCUCCAAACUUGUAUAAGGAGAUCUGAUCCAAAGGCAAACAGCCAGACAACGGUGAAGGAAAGGGCACUGCUGGCAGAUUGUAGGCACCUUGCUUAAUUUUCAGGGGAGAGCUAUCAAGAGAUUUAAAGACCACCCUGCAGGAAGAAAGUAAAAGAAAGGGCUAACAUUUCUCCUACCAUGCAGCCAGCAGAAUUAGACGCACCUCCAUUUUUCUGCACAAUCUGAUGCUGACACUGAUUCCCUGGGGUCACCCAUAUUUUCUAUUAAAAGCCACUAUGUUUCUAAUGAUUUGUCCAAAGACCCCUCUUAUUCUCUGACUUGUCUUUUUCUUCCUACUAUGAUUAAAAUAUUGUCUUACAUUUUGAGCCAGA